rnacentral:sRNA from 1 species
CGCAACGUCGCUCAACACAUCGCAUGCAGGAUGCCCGACUAACCCCUCGCUGCCUGGUAUUUGAGUUGUCAGGGAAAGCAUCCUAGCGUCGCAGCACCUUCCUGAUCCUCCAACGCCUGAAUAGAUAUAUUGGCGGUAUUCUUAGAUGAUGGAUCCGUCAUACAUGGUGUUUCGGACAUUUAUGAAGUGACCUGUAUAUCCGCAAUCUUAUGUACAGUAUUUCCUACAUCAAUUGCAGAUAUCCCUGACCCUCCCCUGGUAAUGUGAACCAGCCCACAGGCUUUGAUCCCAUUUCGCCCGUUGAAGACAAAGACAUACCAAUUUCAGCCCACAACACAAUAUCUUCAGCUUCACAGGACAACCUAGCUCUAGAAGCAGUCCGGAAGGUCAGAUCUUCACCGGAGCAAUGCAGUAUACCUGCUGGUUUCAGAACAGCUGGACGGGAGCAAUCAUGGCAA